rnacentral:lncRNA from 1 species
AACUGGUGAUAGCUCUGCUGGGGGCGAGCCAGUGUCUGAUCUGCUGAAAACGGGCUUUCUGUCAAGUCCAUCUGCUUGCGCUAAGCUAGCUGAUCACGUGUAUCGAGCUGGUGACCUUUGUGCUUUCUCGAGCCUUCCCUUGGAUAAGCAAGAAGAAGCUGCCAUGUAUCACCUUCAAAAGGGAAUGGUUUUUGCUGUUGGGGCCAUGCGGAACUUGCGUAAUGUUGCCC